ACGAACAGGGACCAGCCUAGCAAGAGAUAACUAGUGUGUUAGUGGAACGCUCUGGAAAAGUGCGGCCAUAGUGGGUGAUAGCCCCGUACGCGAAAACACAUUAGCGAGACUGAGCUUGCGACAAGUAGGGCGGGACACGUGAAAUCCUGUCUGAAGAUGGGGGGACCAUCCUCCAAGGCUAAAUACUCGUAAUCGACCGAUAGUGAACCAGUACCGUGAGGGAAAGGCGAAAAGAACCCCGGGAGGGGAGUGAAAUAGAUCCUGAAAACCGCAUGCAUACAAACAGUGGGAGCCUCGCAAGGGGUGACUGCGUACCUUUUGUAUAAUGGGUCAGCGACUUACGUUCUGUAGCGAGCUUAACCGAAUAGGGGAGGCGUAGCGAAAGCGAGUCUGAUAAGGGCGCUUUAGUUGCAGGGCGUAGACCCGAAACCAGAUGAUCUAUCCAUGGCCAGGAUGAAGGUGCCGUAACAGGUACUGGAGGUCCGAACCCACUAAUGUUGAAAAAUUAGGGGAUGAGCUGUGGAUAGGGGUGAAAGGCU
rnacentral:rRNA from 1 species